rnacentral:pre_miRNA from 1 species
AAAAUACUUUCUCCGUCUUAAAAUUCUUAUCUUAGAUUUAUCUAGAUAUAAAUGUAUCUAGUUAGAUUUUAGUAUUUAGAUACAUUCAUUUUUAAAAAAAACCUAAGACAAGAAUUUUGGGACGGAGGGAGUACUUA